rnacentral:rRNA from 1 species
CCUACGGGAGGCAGCAGUGAGGAAUAUUGGUCAAUGGCCGGAAGGCUGAACCAGCCAAGUCGCGUGAGGGAAUAAGGCCCUAUGGGUCGUAAACCUCUUUUGUCAGGGAGCAAAGGCGUCCACGUGUGGACUAGCGGAUAGUCCCUGUAGAAAAAGCAUCGGCUAACUCCGUGCCAGCAGCCGCGGUAAUACGGAGGAUGCGGGCGUUAUCGGGUUUUAUUGGGUUUAAAGGGUGCGUAGGCGGAGUGUCAAGUCAGCGGUAAAAUUUAGGGACGAAACCCAGACGUGCCGUUGAAACUGACGCCCUUGAGUGAGUGAGAGGUAGGCGGAAUGCGUGGUGUAGCGGUGAAAUGCAUAGAUAUCACGCAGAACGCCGAUUGCGAAGGCAGCUUACCAGCGCGCAACUGACGCUGAGGCACGAAAGUGCGGGUAUCGAACAGGAUUAGAUACCCGGGUAGUC